rnacentral:rRNA from 1 species
AGCUCCAAUAGCGUAUAUUAAAGUUGCUGCAGUUAAAAAGCUCGUAGUUGGAUCUCGGGGUACCUGGUCUAGCCGGUAUAGCUCACGCUAAAACUGGUCUGACCCCCCAACGUGAGGUAUUCGUCUCCGGGUGCACUUCAUUGGGUGCUCGUGAGGGGCCUCGUAGUUACUGUGAAAAAAUUAGAGUGUUCAAAGCAGGCUCAUAUGUUCGGAUAGUCGUGCAUGGAAUAACUGAAUUCGUGACUGGCUCUUUUCAGUUGGUCUCGGCGACUGGUCAAAUGAUUAAGAGGGACUGCCGGGAGCAUUGGUAUUUCGGUGUUAGAGGUGAAAUUCUUUGAUCCUCUCCAGACCAACUACUGCGAAAGCAUUUGCCAUGAAUGUCUUCA